UUGCACCGAGAUUCAACAUGGAACGAGUGGCGGACGGGUGAGUAACACGUGGGUAACCUGCCCUUAAGUGGGGGAUAACAUUUGGAAACAGAUGCUAAUACCGCAUAGAUCCAAGAACCGCAUGGUUCUUGGCUGAAAGAUGGCGUAAGCUAUCGCUUUUGGAUGGACCCGCGGCGUAUUAGCUAGUUGGUGAGGUAAUGGCUCACCAAGGCGAUGAUACGUAGCCGAACUGAGAGGUUGAUCGGCCACAUUGGGACUGAGACACGGCCCAAACUCCUACGGGAGGCAGCAGUAGGGAAUCUUCCACAAUGGACGCAAGUCUGAUGGAGCAACGCCGCGUGAGUGAAGAAGGCUUUCGGGUCGUAAAACUCUGUUGUUGGAGAAGAAUGGUCGGCAGAGUAACUGUUGCCGGCGUGACGGUAUCCAACCAGAAAGCCACGGCUAACUACGUGCCAGCAGCCGCGGUAAUACGUAGGUG
rnacentral:rRNA from 1 species